CGCGGGGAGGUAGUGACGAAAAAUAACAAUGCAGGACUCGUUCGAGGCCCUGUAAUUGGAAUGAGUACACUUUAAAAGCUUUAACGAGUAUCCAUUGGAGGGCAAGUCUGGUGCCAGCAGCCGCGGUAAUUCCAGCUCCAAAAGUAUAUAUUUAAGUUGUUGCGGUUAAAAAGCUCGUAGUUGGAUUUUGGGCGCAGGCGGCCGGUCCGUCGCAAGGCGUGUACUGGACGUCCUGGCCUUCCCUCCGGUUCUCCGCCGGUGCUCUUGACUGAGUGUCGGCGGCGGCCGGAACGUUUACUUUGAAAAAAUUAGAGUGUUCAAAGCAGGCUCUCGAGCCUGGAUAAUGGUGCAUGGAAUAAUGGAAUAGGACCUCGGUUCUAUUUUGUUGGUUUUCGGAGCGCGAGGUAAUGAUUAAGAGGGACAGACGGGGGCAUUCGUACUGUGCCGUUAGAGGUGAAAUUCUUGGAUCGGCGCAAGACGAACGACUGCGAAAGCAUUUGCCAAGAAUGUUUUCUUUAAUCAAGAGCGAAAGUCAGAGGUUCGAAGACGAUCAGAUACCGUCCUAGUUCUGACUAUAAACGAUGCCAACUAGCGAUCGGGGGGCGUUACAUUGACGACCCCUCCGGCAGCUUACGGGAAACCAAAGUCUUUGGGUUCCGGGGGAAGUAUGGUUGCAAAGCUGAAACUUAAAGGAAUUGACGGAAGGGCACCACCAGGAGUGGAGCCUGCGGCUUAAUUUGACUCAACACGGGAAAUCUCACCCGGCCCGGACACAGUGAGGAUUGACAGAUUGAGAGCUCUUUCUUGAUUCUGUGGGUGGUGGUGCAUGGCCGUUCUUAGUUGGUGGUUCGAUUUGUCUGGUUAAUUCCGAUGGCGAACGAGACUCUGGCUUGCUAAAUAGUUACGCGA
rnacentral:ncRNA from 1 species